rnacentral:rRNA from 1 species
GGUUAAGCGACUAAGCGUACACGGUGGAUGCCCUGGCAGUCAGAGGCGAUGAAGGACGUGCUAAUCUGCGAUAAGCGUCGGUAAGGUGAUAUGAACCGUUAUAACCGGCGAUUUCCGAAUGGGGAAACCCAGUGUGUUUCGACACACUAUCAUUAACUGAAUCCAUAGGUUAAUGAGGCGAACCGGGGGAACUGAAACAUCUAAGUACCCCGAGGAAAAGAAAUCAACCGAGAUUCCCCCAGUAGCGGCGAGCGAACGGGGAGCAGCCCAGAGCCUGAAUCAGUGUGUGUGUUAGUGGAAGCGUCUGGAAAGGCGCGCGAUACAGGGUGACAGCCCCGUACACAAAAAUGCACAUGCUGUGAGCUCGAUGAGUAGGGCGGGACACGUGGUAUCCUGUCUGAAUAUGGGGGGACCAUCCUCCAAGGCUAAAUACUCCUGACUGACCGAUAGUGAACCAGUACCGUGAGGGAAAGGCGAAAAGAACCCCGGCGAGGGGAGUGAAAAAGAACCUGAAACCGUGUACGUACAAGCAGUGGGAGCACGCUUAGGCGUGUGACUGCGUACCUUUUGUAUAAUGGGUCAGCGACUUAUAUUCUGUAGCAAGGUUAACCGAAUAGGGGAGCCGAAGGGAAACCGAGUCUUAACUGGGCGUUAAGUUGCAGGGUAUAGACCCGAAACCCGGUGAUCUAGCCAUGGGCAGGUUGAAGGUUGGGUAACACUAACUGGAGGACCGAACCGACUAAUGUUGAAAAAUUAGCGGAUGACUUGUGGCUGGGGGUGAAAGGCCAAUCAAACCGGGAGAUAGCUGGUUCUCCCCGAAAGCUAUUUAGGUAGCGCCUCGUGAAUUCAUCUCCGGGGGUAGAGCACUGUUUCGGCAAGGGGGUCAUCCCGACUUACCAACCCGAUGCAAACUGCGAAUACCGGAGAAUGUUAUCACGGGAGACACACGGCGGGUGCUAACGUCCGUCGUGAAGAGGGAAACAACCCAGACCGCCAGCUAAGGUCCCAAAGUCAUGGUUAAGUGGGAAACGAUGUGGGAAGGCCCAGACAGCCAGGAUGUUGGCUUAGAAGCAGCCAUCAUUUAAAGAAAGCGUAAUAGCUCACUGGUCGAGUCGGCCUGCGCGGAAGAUGUAACGGGGCUAAACCAUGCACCGAAGCUGCGGCAGCGACNNNNNNNNNNNNNNNNNNAUGCUGGAGGUAUCAGAAGUGCGAAUGCUGACAUAAGUAACGAUAAAGCGGGUGAAAAGCCCGCUCGCCGGAAGACCAAGGGUUCCUGUCCAACGUUAAUCGGGGCAGGGUGAGUCGACCCCUAAGGCGAGGCCGAAAGGCGUAGUCGAUGGGAAACAGGUUAAUAUUCCUGUACUUGGUGUUACUGCGAAGGGGGGACGGAGAAGGCUAUGUUGGCCGGGCGACGGUUGUCCCGGUUUAAGCGUGUAGGCUGGUUUUCCAGGCAAAUCCGGAAAAUCAAGGCUGAGGCGUGAUGACGAGGCACUACGGUGCUGAAGCAACAAAUGCCCUGCUUCCAGGAAAAGCCUCUAAGCAUCAGGUAACAUCAAAUCGUACCCCAAACCGACACAGGUGGUCAGGUAGAGAAUACCAAGGCGCUUGAGAGAACUCGGGUGAAGGAACUAGGCAAAAUGGUGCCGUAACUUCGGGAGAAGGCACGCUGAUAUGUAGGUGAAGUCCCUCGCGGAUGGAGCUGAAAUCAGUCGAAGAUACCAGCUGGCUGCAACUGUUUAUUAAAAACACAGCACUGUGCAAACACGAAAGUGGACGUAUACGGUGUGACGCCUGCCCGGUGCCGGAAGGUUAAUUGAUGGGGUCAGCGCAAGCGAAGCUCUUGAUCGAAGCCCCGGUAAACGGCGGCCGUAACUAUAACGGUCCUAAGGUAGCGAAAUUCCUUGUCGGGUAAGUUCCGACCUGCACGAAUGGCGUAAUGAUGGCCAGGCUGUCUCCACCCGAGACUCAGUGAAAUUGAACUCGCUGUGAAGAUGCAGUGUACCCGCGGCAAGACGGAAAGACCCCGUGAACCUUUACUAUAGCUUGACACUGAACAUUGAGCCUUGAUGUGUAGGAUAGGUGGGAGGCUUUGAAGUGUGGACGCCAGUCUGCAUGGAGCCGACCUUGAAAUACCACCCUUUAAUGUUUGAUGUUCUAACGUGGACCCGUAAUCCGGGUUGCGGACAGUGUCUGGUGGGUAGUUUGACUGGGGCGGUCUCCUCCUAAAGAGUAACGGAGGAGCACGAAGGUUGGCUAAUCCUGGUCGGACAUCAGGAGGUUAGUGCAAUGGCAUAAGCCAGCUUGACUGCGAGCGUGACGGCGCGAGCAGGUGCGAAAGCAGGUCAUAGUGAUCCGGUGGUUCUGAAUGGAAGGGCCAUCGCUCAACGGAUAAAAGGUACUCCGGGGAUAACAGGCUGAUACCGCCCAAGAGUUCAUAUCGACGGCGGUGUUUGGCACCUCGAUGUCGGCUCAUCACAUCCUGGGGCUGAAGUAGGUCCCAAGGGUAUGGCUGUUCGCCAUUUAAAGUGGUACGCGAGCUGGGUUUAGAACGUCGUGAGACAGUUCGGUCCCUAUCUGCCGUGGGCGCUGGAGAAUUGAGGGGGGCUGCUCCUAGUACGAGAGGACCGGAGUGGACGCAUCACUGGUGUUCGGGUUGUCAUGCCAAUGGCACUGCCCGGUAGCUAAAUGCGGAAGAGAUAAGUGCUGAAAGCAUCUAAGCACGAAACUUGCCCCGAGAUGAGUUCUCCCUGACUCCUUGAGAGUCCUGAAGGAACGUUGAAGACGACGACGUUGAUAGGCCGGGUGUGUAAGCGCAGCGAUGCGUUGAGCUAACCGGUACUAAUGAACCGUGAGGCUUAACCUU